CAUGAUUGGUUACAUUAUUGGCCCUUGCUGAUCAACACAGCCUUCAGCCCUUCCCCAGAGGUCAAGGGUGAGCUUGAAAAUCCAAACCCUCCCAUCAUGUGGUUGAUUCCCAUUGCAACCAGCCUCCAUCCUCCAGCCAUAAGUCCCCUCAAUAGUAGACAAAAAGACACAUAUCGCUUUGGAGAUUCCUUGGGUUUAGGAGCCAAGAACGGGUGUGCGGUGUGUUGACAGCUUUUCAUGACUAUGACAAAAUACCUCAGGUAAUCCACUUAAAGGAAGAAGGAUUUAUUUUAGCUCACAGUCUGAGGUUUCAGUCAACAGUGGUGUGGACCAUUGCUGCAGGGCCUGUUGUAACAGAGAACAUCACAGAAACAUAUGACAGAACAAAGGCACUCCCCUCUUGGUGACUGGGAAACAAAAGGAACAGGAAGGGUGAAGGUCCCAAUUCGCCUUUCAGGGCACUCUCCUAACGACCUCACUUCCUGUGGUGAUUACCUCACUUCCUGUGCUAGGCCCCACCUCCUGAAGGUCCCCCUACCUCCCAACAGCUCCAAUAUGGGGCCACAGCCUUCCACACCUGGGCCUUCGGGAGAUGCUCAGAACCCAGCCUACAGCACACCCUCCCCACGGUCAUUUCAGAGUUCGAGGUGCACUAUCUGGAGCUUGGGAAGGACAGGAAGAUGACAAUGAGCUGAGCUGUGGCCAACGCUCAGUCCAGGGAGCACCCUCUGCUCCUCUGUUUGAGCUGAUGAAGCCCCCCAACGUUGACUUGGCUGCUAAGACUGAUUUCCCCAGACCCAUGAAGAAAGGCCCCAGCCCUGAGUGGCUCCCUGCUUUGGAAAAUAACGUCAGUGACAACCCUGUGCAGGCACAGUCCAGGGAAGAGAGGCUCUGGGGUUGGCAUGCCCCUGCCCUCCCUGGGCCUUUCUGCAAGUGAGGAGUGGACCAUGGCGGUGGGUGGGCAGAAGGACGUCUGUAUACCCUUCCUGGAAGCCCCGCCUAGCCCUCAAGAGGUUCUUGAUCCAAGGAGGAGGACAGCCAUGUGGACUCACCUCCAGAAACUGGCAAACGUGCAGACAGGCCCUCCAGGUCCCUUGGGCUCCGUGAGGCCCAGGGAGCCCAACCUGUUUCUCCUGAGCCUAUCCACAAGGACAGGCUCAAUGGGGAACAAAACUGGACACUUUGUCCCAGGCCCGCAGGGGCAGAGGAGGGGCCAGUGCUGGCUGGGGUGGCCACACCCAGAGGCCGGAGGCCACCUGCCCUUCUCUGCAGGGCCAGGCCUUAUUUAGUGGAGCAACAUGAUCUUAGCCAACCCCGCACAGCUGGAGGCCGACAUGAGGCCAGCCUUGUUCCACUAGGCACAGGUGGCGCCUUCCCAGGGAAUCUCUCUCCCUUGGUGAGACAAGGAUGGCGGAACGGCUUUGCCAGUGGUUUCAAGCGGGAAGGGCUGGGGAGGGGGCGCCUGCACUCGUGCACCUCUGGGCAAGUUGGCCUAAUUGUCCAAGGAGACCAGGCAGCCCUCCUGCCCAAACGAAAUGCAAUCUGCCUUCUUCCUCCUCCCGAGUCAUUAUUUAUUUAUCUGGAAGAUGCUUUGAUGACAGAAAUUCAGGGCUGCACUUAGGCAUCUAAUGAGGGCAAUCAGAAGCAGAAAAGGGGACAAAGCUGUCCCUCUGGGUUUGCCGCAGCAAGCUGCUGGCCUCCAUGUUUGCAGAAUCCUGUGUCUGCUUCAAAGCCAGCUCCCACCUUGCUCUCCAUUUCUCCUCCCAGGGAAGUGGCAGAUCCUCAAUUUACAGGAGAGGAGACUGAGGCCCCGGUGGUGGCACCCCCUGCAUUACAGAGGCAGCCCUGCUGGCCGCCUGCGGCCUCUUCCUGUGCUUGGGGUGCUGCCCGCUGGCUGAAAAUUACUACUGCUUGCUGUUGCCAUGGUGACUGGUUGUGUUAUUCCAUCCUGCAGAGAUGUGUGCCCCACGUCAUCCAAGCUGGUGUGUUUCUGCUGGAGAAAACCUCUAUAUCUAGGAGAGAUGGGGGGGCCCUGCACACUGCCCUUCCUGUGACACCCUGCCUCUUCCCUGGCCCUGACCCCAGGGCCCCUGCAGCACUCAGCCUGUUGCUCUCCGGGGCCUGU
rnacentral:lncRNA from 1 species